UUCAAUAUUAAUGUUAUUCUGCAUACGUCCCUCUUUAAUUCCCUUAUUUCUGAUUUGUAGUUUGAUGAAUAGUCUAUGUUGUAAGUAGAGGGGACUGUAUCUAAAUUGUUAAUAUGGUUUUCCAUGCAACAUAGUUGAAACUUCUAUUUAGUACGUAUCAAGUCGUUUACCGAGACGCAUGAUGGAAAAAUUUGUCGUUGUCAUAAAAUUUCUUUCUGAUAUUAUUUUCAGAGAUAGAUUAGAGAAUAUAUUAGCAAUGAUUUAAAUUAACUCAGUCUACUUCGAUUUUGCCAAAUAAUAAAGUAGAAAAUAGUGUGACACAAUAAUAUUUAAAUAAUUUAACGCAAAUAUUUAUAAUACUGACGUAUGUUAAUAUUUGUAGUAUACUCAAAAUCGUCAGAAAGUUCAGAAGAUAUGGAAUUAAAAGUAUUUAAAGAAGAUGAAAAUUGCAAAUGAUACUUUUCUACCAGAUGACAAGAAUUUUCAAAUUGGAUAGUAUGGGCAAUAUCUACAUGCAGUUAUACAAAAACAGGUUUUGAUUAGUUUAAACUGUCCAGCCACGUGUAAAAUUAUGGUCAUAAAUGUACAGUCUACACCAGUGAUCGCUGAAAUUCCCACGAUGCAUGCCAACAGUUGACAAAAGAAGGCGAUUUCGAAUUUGGGAGAAGCUGAGAUGUCUGUUCCGUACCUGACAGUGAUGUUAGAAUAUCGUUGCUGUAUAUUUUCGUUAUUUACAUUCUUUUCAUGAUCAAUGGCAGGAGAAAUGAAAGUAGAUAAGGACGAUUUUUACCAGACGUCAAAAGCGAUGAAAUUUUAACUACAGCUAGGUACCGAAUUGCUUGGGAGACUCAGUAUGAUAGAGUUAGUCUUUAUCCGGACGUUUCUCCGAUAUCAUCUUAAAAAAAAAAUUAAGUUCCGUUUCGUCGACGUAUGAAAGGUACAAUAAUUAGUAAUAAUAAUUGAAUUUAAAUGAAUUUCAUUCGUUUACAAACAUUCUAUACA